rnacentral:rRNA from 1 species
UCUCUGUGGUGCUAUACAUGCAGUCGAGCGGAGUUAUGAGGAAGCUUGCUCCCGAUUAACUUAGCGGCGGACGGGUGAGUAACACGUAGGCAACCUGCCCUGUAGUCUGGGAUAACGACCGGAAACGGUAGCUAAUACCGGAUAAUUCCUUUUGCCUCCUGGCGAAAGGAUGAAAGACGGAGCAAUCUGUCACUAUGGGAUGGGCCUGCGGCGCAUUAGCUAGUUGGUGGGGUAACGGCUCACCAAGGCGACGAUGCGUAGCCGACCUGAGAGGGUGAACGGCCACACUGGGACUGAGACACGGCCCAGACUCCUACGGGAGGCAGCAGUAGGGAAUCUUCCGCAAUGGGCGAAAGCCUGACGGAGCAACGCCGCGUGAGUGAUGAAGGUUUUCGGAUCGUAAAGCUCUGUUGCCAGGGAAGAACGUCCGGUAGAGUAACUGCUGCCGGAGUGACGGUACCUGAGAAGAAAGCCCCGGCUAACUACGUGCCAGCAGCCGCGGUAAUACGUAGGGGGCAAGCGUUGUCCGGAAUUAUUGGGCGUAAAGCGCGCGCAGGCGGCUAUUUAAGUCUGGUGUUUAAACCUCGGGCUCAACCUGGGGUCGCACUGGAAACUGGAUGGCUUGAGUGCAGAAGAGGAAAGUGGAAUUCCAUGUGUAGCGGUGAAAUGCGUAGC